GAUUGGUGCCGCGCGGCGCCGCCCGGCCCCCGCUAUAAGGCGGAGGCGCGGGCGGGGAAGGAGCGGCCGCGGCGAGGCUGGCGGGGGAAGAGCAAGAAGGAAGACUUGCCAGACAAGAUCCAAAACCAGUGUGACCUUCGCCUUUAAUAAGGUGAUUCAGAAACCGUGUGCAUAGAGGACUCCUAGCCAGAGCUGCUUCCUGCAGCACAGCCACUUCCACCUCACCCUGUACACCUGGGAAGCCAGCUAACAGUUUAUCACUUUGGGUCUGCUCCAGCUUUGCCUGUCAGCAGUGUAUUCUCUCUUUCCUGAGGCAGCCAUCAAAACAAGGAAGAAAAGCUUAGUCUGCUUCCAUCUGGCUGUCAAACUGAUGACUAGAGUAAUGUGAAACUGUCAGGAGGCAAAAGCCGAGCAAGCUGAAUAAAGAUGUGAUUAAGAGAAGCACAGAAUCCACACCACUGUGCGUAAUACAGC